AAUGCCCUUUUCUGUCUCUGCCGCCGGUCCGGGGAUGGGAACGAGCCGUCGGACCACUCACCGGCUCCGAGGCUGCUUUAGGGCUGAAAGUGGGUUGGUUGGUUGGGUUUUGUUUAGUUUUUUUCUGUGGUGGUGGGGAGUUAUACAAAUCCAUACUGAACGUUUGGAAUUGAAUGCCAGGAGGCUGAUGCUCAGCUCCGGGGGAUGCCAUUGGGGGUGGGGGGAAGGAGAAUAGGGAGGCAGGGGGACAGAGACUCCUUCUCUCUCCCCUCAAAAAAAAAAAAAACCCAAACCCCAAACCAACCCACUACUCUUUUAAGCAACGUCCCAUCAGGAAAGCUGUCAUUCAAGGACUUUUCCUGCUUCGUCUGCCAGGGAAUAAACAGGACUCUGCUUCCUUGGAGUAAAUCACAGUGUGGGGCUGCCUUAUCUCAUCCAGAGACCCUGUACAGGAAUGUUGCACUGUCCAGCCCUUGGGCCACCCACCCCUGAUCCCAGUCAUCAGCAUCUGCUCCAGGCUCAAGCUCUGACCCUCCUGAGACAUAUUUCUGCAAGGUUUCUGGCCAGCAACACCGAGGACUGUCACGGCCAAGCCAUUCAUUCGGAGAUGUCAUGCACAGAGGAUUUAACCACGCAUGAGCCGCCUGCGUGCGGAGAAGGGAAAGCAUCCCUGGCCACGCUGCAGGACUGAGCUCUGGGUUGGAGAUAGGACAAGGGUGAGUGCCUAGGAAAUGUAGGCAAAGCCAGCUUUUGGAGGAAGUAAUUCGGGCAACCCUCCCCAACCCCUGGCAACCGAAAUGGGCCACCGUGCAAAUCAGUCUGUGCAUGUACAGAAUAACCCAAACCUCACCGUUACUGUGGCUUCCUCCUCUUCUUCUUCUAGAGGAUGUGCUGAUGAGAGGGUCAUCUUGAGGGCUCUGUGGCUUACUGUCUGGUACAGUUUCAUCACUGUGCUAGAGGGACACAUUUUCCAGUUCUCCAAAUUUCCCAUCAGACUGAAAUUUCAUAGAAUCAUUGAUUCAUUAUGUUUGGAAAAGACCUUUAAGAUCAUUGACUCCAAACAUUGACCUAAACACUGCCAAGCCCAUCAGCCUCCUCAGGAGCAGCAGACCCUAGCAAGGUGCUACCAGGCAAAUGGCCAUCCAACCCCACCAGCUUCUCUGGAUGGACCAGAAGACGUGGACCUACUUCAUCCCAGGAACCACUGCAGGUUUCUCAUUAGCCUAAUUACUACUAAUUGUGCCACUUGGCUAUCUCACCAGCCUUGCCCUGGACACAGCUGAUAGGGUAUCAGUGAGAUAAGGAGCACUCAGAGCAGGUAACUGGUAAAUGUCGUCAGACCAGUGGUGGGGUGAUCUGCCUUCUAGAGGGAUUAUCUCUCCUACCCAGAGCCUGAGACAUGGACCUCCUAAUGGGAACACUGUGGUCCUAAGGGUAUGUGGAGGGUAACUGUGACUGACAUGCUCCUCUGAGCUUUUUAGGAGGUGUUAUAAGGGAUUUUGGUGACUCAGGAUUUGCAAACACUAGAAAAGCAAACUGGCAUUCAUUUUCAGUCAUUCCUUUAAAUUUAGUGAACAUGCAGUUUAUUCUUUUGAGUGUUUUUAGCUGUUGUUCAUUUCACACUGUGCAAAGGAAAGUCUCAUUUCUCCACUUUUGUUUUGUUUUGUUGAUCUCCACAGAAAAAUAAAUUCUGGGCUUUUUUUUUGACAAA